GACCAGACUCCUACGGGAGGCAGCAGUGGGGAAUAUUGGGCAAUGGGCGCAAGCCUGACCCAGCAACGCCGCGUGAAGGAAGAAGGCUUUCGGGUUGUAAACUUCUUUUCUCAGGGACGAAGAAAGUGACGGUACCUGAGGAAUAAGCCACGGCUAACUACGUGCCAGCAGCCGCGGUAAUACGUAGGUGGCAAGCGUUAUCCGGAUUUAUUGGGUGUAAAGGGCGUGUAGCCGGGCCGGCAAGUCAGAUGUGAAAUCCCAAGGCUCAACCUUGGAACUGCAUUUGAAACUGUUGGUCUUGAGUAUCGGAGAGGCAGGCGGAAUUCCUGGUGUAGCGGUGAAAUGCGUAGAUAUCAGGAGGAACACCGGCGGCGAAGGCGGCCUGCUGGACCGUAACUGACGUUGAGGCUCGAAAGCGUGGGGAGCAAACAGGAUUAGAUACCCCAGUA
rnacentral:rRNA from 1 species